GACGAACGCUGGCGGCGUGCUCGACACAUGCAAGUCGAGCGGUAAGGCCCUUUCGGGGGUACGACGAGCGGCGAACGGGUGAGUAACACGUGGGUGACCUGCCCUCAGCUCUGGGAUAAGCCUGGGAAACCGGGUCUAAUACCGGAUAUGACUCCAUGACGCAUGUUGUGGGGUGGAAAGCCUUGUGCGGCUGAGGAUGGGCCCGCGGCCUAUCAGCUUGUUGGUGGGGCGAUGGCCUACCAAGGCGACGACGGGUAGCCGGCCUGAGAGGGCGACCGGCCACACUGGGACUGAGACACGGCCCAGACUCCUACGGGAGGCAGCAGUGGGGAAUCUUGCGCAAUGGGCGAAAGCCUGACGCAGCGACGCCGCGUGAGGGAUGACGGCCU
rnacentral:rRNA from 1 species